UACAGAGGGGGCAAGCGUUGUUCGGAAUUACUGGGCGUAAAGGGCGCGUAGGCGGCCUGCUAAGUCGAACGUGAAAUCCCUGGGCUCAACCCAGGAACUGCGUCCGAUACUGGUUGGCUUGAAUCCGGGAGAGGGAUGUGGAAUUCCAGGAGUAGCGGUGAAAUGCGUAGAUAUCUGGAGGAACACCGGUGGCGAAGGCGACAUCCUGGACCGGCAUUGACGCUGAGGCGCGAAAGCCAGGGGAGCAAACAGG
rnacentral:rRNA from 1 species